rnacentral:rRNA from 1 species
GCGAAUGGCUCAUUAAAUCAGCUAUGGUUUAUUGGAUCGUACCCGUUAAAUGGAUAACUGUAAUAACUCUAGAGCUAAUACAUGCCACGAUGCCCUGACCUGUGCUCUUGGGUACAGGAAUGGGUGCACUUAUUAGAUCAGAAACCAAUCAGGACUUGACCUUGGUCAGGACUUGUUGUCGUUCUGGUGACUCUGGAUAAUUGUUACAGAUCGCAGUCGGCCUUGAGUCGGCGACGGGUCCUUCAAAUGUCUGCCCUAUCAACUUUCGAUGGUAGGUGACCUGCCUACCAUGGUGAUAACGGGUAACGGGGAAUCAGGGUUCGAUUCCGGAGAGGGAGCCUGAGAAACGGCUACCACUUCCAAGGGAGGCAGCAGGCGCGCAAAUUACCCACUCCCGGUACGGGGAGGUGGUGACGAAAAAUACCGAUGCGGGACUCUUCAAGAGGCUCCGUAAUCGGAAUGAGUGAACUCUAAAUCCUUUCACGAGGAUCAAUUGGAGGGCAAGUCUGGUGCCAGCAGCCGCGGUAACUCCAGCUCCAAUAGCGUAUAUUAAAGUUGCUGCAGUUAAAAAGCUCGUAGUUGGAUCUCGGUUGUACUGUUGCCUGCCAUUGCUUGGCCGGUUGGGUGCUAGGUGGCACAGCUGAGUGCCGUGUUGCUCGUGUGCUCGACUGUUGUCAAGUUGGUGUGGCAGCGGUGCCACCUUUUAGCCAUGUCUGUGGUGAAAUACCCACAGGUGUGGGCGAGUGUCAGGCGGUGCUCUGCAGCUGUAGGGUCCGUCGACUCGUCUGCAUGCCUUUGAAUGCCCUUCAAAAGGUGUUUGUGGGCAGAUGGCACGUUUACUUUGAACAAAUUUGAGUGCUCAAACCAGGCCGCUGUAGCCUGAAAAGUUUUGCAUGGAAUAAUGGAAUAGGACUUCGGUUCUAUUUUGUUGGUUUUCGGAUCCGAAGUAAUGAUCAAAAGAGACAGGCGGGGACGUUUGUAUGGUUGCGCUAGAGGUGAAAUUCAUGGACCGUAACCAGACAGACUAAAGCGAAAGCAUUCGUCAAGCAUGUUUUCAUUGGCCAUGAGCGAAAGUCAGAGGCUCGAAGACGAUCAGAUACCGUCCUAGUUCUGACCAUAAACGAUGCCAACUGACGAUCCGUGAUGGUAGUUUAAUAACCGUCCUCACGGGCAGCCCCCGGGAAACCUUUAAGUCUAUGGGUUCCGGGGGAAGUAUGGUUGCAAAGCUGAAACUUAAAGGAAUUGACGGAAGGGCACCACCAGGAGUGGAGCCUGCGGCUUAAUUUGACUCAACACGGGAAAACUCACCCGGGCCGGACACUGUGAGGAUUGACAGAUUGACAGCUCUUUCUUGAUUUGGUGGUUGGUGGUGCAUGGCCGUUCUUAGUUGGUGGAGCGAUUUGUCUGGUUAAUUCCGAUAACGAACGAGACUCUAGCCUGCUAAUUAGUGCGCCUGUCCUCUGUUCCUGUGUAGGCUGCCUCUGGCGCUACUGCCUUUGUAUACGAGGCCGUUUUGUGCUGUUGCUCAGUCUGCUGUCUGCUUGAUUGGCAGUGUUGCUGGUGGCGUUAGUCGGUUUCGACAUUGCAUCAUCGGUGGCUACGGCUGGUCAGUAUGGUAGGCGGUAGACUUGAGUUGACUGGUGCGACGGUUAAGUUUAGGCGGUGGAGUUGGGGAUUGCUUGCGGGUACGGCGCAGGUGUCUACUUCUUAGAGGGACAAGCAUAUACAAAUGCACGAGAUUGAGCAAUAACAGGUCUGUGAUGCCCUUAGAUGUCCGGGGCCGCACGCGCGCUACAAUGACGGUGUCAACGAGUCUGACCUCCUGGCCCGAAAGGGUUGGGUAAACUGGUCAAUCACCGUCAUGUCAGGGAUCGGGGCUUGGAAUUGUUCCCCGUGAACCAGGAAUUCCUAGUAAGUGCAAGUCAUAAGCUUGCGCUGAUUACGUCCCUGCCCUUUGUACACACCGCCCGUCGCUACUACCGAUUGAAUGGUUUAGUAAGGUCCUUGGAUCGAUGCCAUUGUAGUGGCUCCCUCAUGGGUGUCCAUUCGACAGGCGCUGAGAAGACGACCAAACUUGAUCAUUUAGAGGAAGUAAAAGUCGUAACAAG